rnacentral:rRNA from 1 species
AUUGAACGCUGGCGGCAGGCUUAACACAUGCAAGUCGAGCGGUAACAGGGGGAGCUUGCUCCCUGCUGACGAGCGGCGGACGGGUGAGUAAUGCAUAGGAAUCUGCCCGGUAGUUGGGGAUAGCCCGGGGAAACCCGGAUUAAUACCGAAUACGCCCUACGGGGGAAAGCAGGGGAUCUUCGGACCUUGCGCUAUCGGAUGAGCCUAUGUCGGAUUAGCUGGUUGGUGGGGUAACGGCCUACCAAGGCGACGAUCCGUAGCUGGUCUGAGAGGAUGAUCAGCCACAUCGGGACUGAGACACGGCCCGAACUCCUACGGGAGGCAGCAGUGGGGAAUAUUGGACAAUGGGGGCAACCCUGAUCCAGCCAUGCCGCGUGUGUGAAGAAGGCUUUCGGGUUGUAAAGCACUUUCAGUGAGGAGGAAAACCUGAUGGCUAAUACCCAUGAGGCUUGACGUUACUCACAGAAGAAGCACCGGCUAACUCCGUGCCAGCAGCCGCGGUAAUACGGAGGGUGCGAGCGUUAAUCGGAAUUACUGGGCGUAAAGCGCGCGUAGGUGGUUUGGUAAGCGAGAUGUGAAAGCCCCGGGCUUAACCUGGGAACGGCAUUUCGAACUGUCAGACUAGAGUGU